UACGUAGGGUGCAAGCGUUGUCCGGAAUUAUUGGGCGUAAAGAGCUCGUAGGCGGCUUGUCGCGUCGGCUGUGAAAACCUGGGGCUCAACCCCGGGCCUGCAUUCGAUACGGGCAGGCUAGAGUUCGGUAGGGGAGACUGGAAUUCCUGGUGUAGCGGUGAAAUGCGCAGAUAUCAGGAGGAACACCGGUGGCGAAGGCGGGUCUCUGGGCCGAUACUGACGCUGAGGAGCGAAAGCGUGGGGAGCGAACAGG
rnacentral:rRNA from 1 species